rnacentral:rRNA from 1 species
UACGGAGGGUGCAAGCGUUAUCCGGAUUCACUGGGUUUAAAGGGUGCGUAGGUGGGCAGGUAAGUCAGUGGUGAAAUCUCCGGGCUUAACCCGGAAACUGCCAUUGAUACUAUCAGUCUUGAAUACCGUGGAGGUAAGCGGAAUAUGUCAUGUAGCGGUGAAAUGCUUAGAUAUGACAUAGAACACCAAUUGCGAAGGCAGCUUGCUACCCGAAUAUUGACACUGAGGCACGAAAGCGUGGGGAUCAAACAGG